rnacentral:lncRNA from 1 species
AGCAGUACAAUUUAUUUUAUUUGUGAACCAAUUAUAAAGAAACACAUUUUUGACAGAUGAUUUGAUACCAUAUGCUAUUUUGAUUUUCACAUUACAUAUAACUUCACAUAUUUUAGCAUUAUGCUUUUGAAUACAUCUUACAUGGUUUCAUUAAUUCAAUCAAUAAAACGCAAAAGCAAACGACAAACACUUUUAUUUCUGUAUAAAAAUGUAUCUUCUUUUGAAAAACCUGAUAAAGCGUAAUGACAUAGGAUAUUAAAAAAAAACUUGUAAUUUAUGAAUAAGAUUCUUCUCUUAUAAUUUUAUUUGGGUGCAAAGGCCUUGACAGAGGCACAUUUUAUAUGAAACGCUACUUAAACAAUUGCGCACGAUAAACACUUUUACAACGCUAUAAAUAAAAAGAAAAUACAUUACAUUAUAAUCAUUGCAUGUACUGUAUCUAAUUAACAUAAUCAGAGCGAGCGGAGUGAGAAAGAUUGGUAUGAAAGUGUGAAUGCCUGAAGAAAGGGCCCUGUGAUUAGAAAAUAAAGAAUUUGAAUUUAUAUGCUGCAAUCAUAAACUAAGUUUAUGUCAAAGUUUUGUAUUUGUUUUUUGUUCUUUGCAUCAUUUUGUCACAUUGUCAUCGAUAACAUGCAAAGUCAUAACUGGUAUACAAUGUAUGUUACACGGAAAUAAAAUGGGGAUUUUGAAGUACUUUGCGAUUGUGGUCAGCCAAUCAAAAUUACAGAAUCCGAUACUAAUGAAACGUACAUGUAAUUCAAUUAUUAUAAUAGGUCAUUAUACAUGUAAAAUUAGAUAUAUAUGUUGAUACGAUUCUAAUAUAAUGGUUAGAAACAUAUGACGGCAGAACGAAAUAUUGUUGUAUAACAUGCGAAUUCAUAAAAACAGGAUACAAAACGCACAGUUCAUGGACAUUUAAACAUGUUAAACAUAAGUAUUAGAUUAACCAACGUGACACGUUCUAUCGUUCGUACCGCACCGACAUAUAGCCAUGUUAUCUCAUCAAACAAAAUUUAAAAUUUGUUGUAAUUGCAUAAAUUUAAAAAGAAAUCAGUAAUUAUUUUAAUUUGUAAAGGAAUAUAAAUAUAAUUAAUACAUGACAAAAACAGUGUCAUUUUCUUUUCGAUGUCAAUUUAUCAUAUUUGUUUCUAUAAGAUGACCUUCAUUUAAACGAACACCGCGUGCAUUUAAGUUCAAAUUAAUAAGAUUGACUAUGACUGUGCAGUUGCUUUAUUAAUAGGGAAAAUAUACUUGUCUACAUUAUA